AUGUAGGGCUGCACAAUUAAUCGAAUUUCUAAUCGCGAUCACGAUUACAGAAGCCACGAUUACGUAAUCGUCCAAAGCCGCGAUUACACACACAAAAAAAAAAAAAUCUGCGCGCUUAAGAGGCGUGUUUAGAUAAUGUCAGGUUGUGAGUGGCGAAUCACCACUUUUAAUAAUAGUCUGUAGGCGUGUCAUUAUCAACGACAUUAUCCACUGAUACGUCUCAUGUCAUGUUAAUUCCAUCAUGUCUGCUGAUAGAGCAACAUCCGAUUCCGACAACGUGCAAAGUGCUCAUCCACAAUUAGAACCGAAAAGAAAAGCAACAUCAGUGGUGUGGAAUUAUUUCGGAUUCACCAGGGAUGACGUCGAUCAACGUGUUAUACUGUGUAAAUUGUGUCGAUCAACUGUUUCUGCACCAUCAAGCAACACCACAAAUUUAUACAACCAUUUAAAAUUCAACCACAGAGUGCAAUACGAGGAGUGUCUCAGCGUAAAAAAAAAAGCGCCAAGUGAUGCGAGAACUGCAACACAGACACCCAUCACGAAAUCUUUCUUUAAUGCUACUCCGUACCCGGCAGGUUCCCAAAAGCAGAUCGAGAUAACUGAAGCGAUCGCGCAUUUCAUUGCAAAAGACAUGGUGCCGAUUAAUACAGUUUGCAGCGCGGGGUUUAAAAAACUCAUAAACACACUGGACAAGAGAUACGUCACCUCCUCCCGCAAUUAUUUUUCUCAAGUUGCGCUGCCUUCGCUUUAUUCAAAAUGCCGGGAAAGCAUUGAAUCAGAUCUGCAGAAAAUUGAGUUCUAUUCCACCACGACUGAUUUAUGGUCGAGUAGAACUAUGGAACCAUAUAUGAGCCUUACGGUUCAUUACAUUGAUGACGAGUUUCAACUCAAAACCAGAUGCUUGCAAACGUCCUAUUUUCCGCAAGAUCACACCGGGGAUGCGAUUGCUCAAGGAUUGAAAGAGAUGCUGGGUGCCUGGGAUUUAAAGGAGGAGCAACAAGUCUGUGUCACAACAGACAACGCAGCAAAUAUAGUGAACGCUAUUGCUAUCAAUAAGUGGAGCAGACUUCAGUGUUUUGGACACAGGCUGCACCUAGCAAUUGAACAUUCUUUGAAAGAUGGACGGAUUGACCGUGCACUAAAUGUCUGCAAAAAGGUGGUAGGGUGCUUCUCCUAUAGCUGGAGACGAAGGAGGGAGUUGUCCGAGGCCCAGAAAGAGCUCAAGCUCAAAACAAGCAAUGAUCGCCAGGGUAUUGGAACAACAGAGUGCCAUUUCUUUUGUUCUCUCCGCGGACAGAAAAGCCAGACACCUUGUCCCCACAUGGCAGGAUGUAGAGGUCCUUGAGGCGGUCAACAACUCCCUUUCUCCACUUGCUGAAUUCACGGAUGCUCUUUCAGGAGAGCAAUAUGUAAGUGUGUCAUAUGUGAAGCCUGUUCUUCAUUUGUUCAACAAUAAAAUCUUGGCAGAGAAAGAGGGAGAAACAGAACUGUCAAAAUGCAUCAAGAAAAAGAUCCUGGACUACCUGAAUAAUAAGUAUGAUGAUCCACUGACUCAAGAUUUGCUUGACAUGGCUUCUACAAUUGAUCCCAGAUUCAAGCUAUAGUACGUCAAUGAGAACAGAGUUGAAGCUGUCAAGACUCGUUUGAGAGCUGAAAUGGCAUCAAUAUCUACUACAGUCAAGCCUCAACCAUCGGUGACUGUUAGAGAGGAUGCAGAUGACCAAAAUGCUCCAGCACUAAAGAAGACCAAAAAAACACUGGGCAGCUUCUUUAAAGUAGAUGAGGACCAGAGGCCAGCAUCGCCAUCUCUCAAUCUCCAAGACAUGGCCAUUACUGCAGAGCUACAGUCUUAUUUUCUAUCUGCUGCUGUUGAUAGUGAGGAGGAUCCUUUGGUCUGGUGGAAGGAACAUGCAAAACAAUUCCCAGCACUAUCCAAGUUGGCACAAAAGUAUUUGUGCAUUCCUGCCACAAGCUCUCCCUCGGAAAGAGUAUUCAGCACUGGAGGAAACAUUGUGAAUUGUUUGCGUGCAUCCCUAAAGCCUGAAAGUGUGGACAGGCUUGUGUUCCUAGCCAAAAAUCUUUAAAAGUCUAACUUGAUGUCGUUCAUUCCUGAAACCUUGAAGUGUUUUUAUGUCUUGUGUUAUAGGCCAAAAUACUUCAUAUGGCAAACUAAGUUUUUUUCUUUCUACAGGUUAUCUUGAGUUUUUCUAUUGUUUUAAUUUUAGUUUU